GAUGAACGCUGGCGGCGUGCCUAAUACAUGCAAGUCGAGCGAACAGAUGAGGAUCUUGCUCCUCUGACGUUAGCGGCGGACGGGUGAGUAACACGUGGAUAACCUACCUAUAAGACUGGGAUAACUUCGGGAAACCGGAGCUAAUACCGGAUAAUAUAUUGAACCGCAUGGUUCAAUAGUGAAAGACGGUUUUGCUGUCACUUAUAGAUGUACCCGGGCCGCAUUGGCUAAUUGGUAAGGUAACGGCUUACCAAGGCAACGAUGCGUAGCCGACCAGGGAGAGUGAUCGGCCACACGGGAACUGGACCACGGUCAAGACUCCUACGGAAGGCAGCGGUGGGAAAACUUGCGCAAUGGGCGAAAGCCUGACGGAGCAACGCCGCGUGAGUGAUGAAGGUCUUCGGAUCGUAAAACUCUGUUAUUAGGGAAAAACAAAUGUGUAAGUAACUAUGCACGUCUUGAGGGUACCAAAUCAGAAAGCCACGGCUAACUACGG
rnacentral:rRNA from 1 species